CAGCAGUGGGGAAUCUUCCGCAAUGGGCGCAAGCCUGACGGAGCAACGCCGCGUGAGUGAAGAAGGUCUUCGGAUCGUAAAGCUCUGUUGAGAGGGACGAGAGAUAUAAUCAGGAAAUGGGUUAUAGAGGACGGUACCUUUCGAGGAAGCCACGGCUAACUACGUGCCAGCAGCCGCGGUAAUACGUAGGUGGCGAGCGUUGUCCGGAAUUAUUGGGCGUAAAGGGAGCGCAGGUGGGAGAGUAAGUCAGUCUUAAAAGUUCGGGGCUCAACCCCGUGAUGGGAUUGAAACUACUUUUCUUGAGUGCAGGAGAGGAAAGCGGAAUUCCUAGUGUAGCGGUGAAAUGCGUAGAUAUUAGGAGGAACACCAGUGGCGAAGGCGGCUUUCUGGACUGUAACUGACACUGAGGCUCGAAAGCGUGGGGAGCGAACAGGAUUAGA
rnacentral:rRNA from 1 species